UACCACGGUGAUCAGAGAUGGGGCAGUUAGAGGGGUGAUCAGUGGGAGUCAGACCUUUCCACAGGGGCUUCAUGUGGAGGUGGGACAGCUUGCCCUCCUGUCCCCGGUUGUGUGAUGACACGGUGCUUGCUCCCCACAGAAGCGGAGGCAGCAUCUUGACAGCAGAGUCGCCCUCACCAGACGCUGCACCUGCUGCUGCGGAGAUCCUGCGUGUCACAGCCUCAGAGCCGUGGGAAAGUCUCUGUGAAGUUCUGCUGUGGAAGUGAUGUGGCCCAGAUGGCAGUUCCAUCAAGGACUAUGGUCAAGAUCAUGCCAAGCCUCAUUGUACCAGGAUGGCGAGGGACCUGUUGAUGUGAAACUUGCCAGCAGAGAAGGGAAGAUUUCAACGCCUCUGCUGCCCCAACGGGCCGCUGUCUAGGAAACAUAUCUCAACAGUUGGAGAAAUUCUCAUGCCUUCACUGCUCCCGGGCUUCCUGUUGCUUCCUCACUCCUCCACCCCCACUCCCAUCCUAAUGAAUAUUCAGCCUGCAUCCUUCCAGGAGGAUUUUGAAUAGGAUGCUUCCUGUUUUUCCUAUUAAAGAUUGACUGUUGUCCUGGGUCAAGGGAUUAUUCAGUAAGACCUUGCAGCUGGGAAUUCCUGUUUAUUUCUUAGUAUGACCCUGGCUUUGGGGACAACAUAUGUCUCAUAGACUGUGCAUUCUAAUGGGUCUGUUAGCCCUUGACUCUAUUGCAAGUUUUUUUUUUUCUAGCAUGUUUACCUGUCCUCUCUUACUGUUAGCAAUUCAAGAGCAAGGACUGGGUCCUGUUUCCUUGCCCUUUCUGGUGCCAGCAGAGUGCUCAUCCUAGAAGUUCAAUACAGUUUGUUGAAUGGAUGAAAACCCCCCAAAA